GGAACUUCUAUCCCAUUCCCAUGCUGCUGUCAUGACAUCCACUGGAUUCUCAGCUGGGUCGGCUGUCUAGAUAUCAUGUCCCUGCUGCAAAGUGGAACUCCGUGAGCUACCGUGAGCAGCCCAGCACCUCAGAGGAACCUAGGAUCAAUCGGGUUCUGGCCCCGCUUGCGGAGAGUCACGGCUCGCCCGCCACCUAGUGAUGCUGAGAAAGGCAAGGAAAAGAAUUUCCCCUAGAGUCUGCAGACAAGAGUGCAGCCUGUGGAUUUUAGCCCAGCGAGGACCAUGUCAGACUUCUGCAGAACUGACACUGACAGGUUAACUGGGCAAGCAGAUGCUGUAUUCAUCACUCGUGGUUUCUGUGCUGCUGUCUGUGUCAG